rnacentral:rRNA from 1 species
GACGAACGCUGGCGGCGUGCUUAACACAUGCAAGUCGAACGGAAAGGCCCUGCUUUUGUGGGGUGCUCGAGUGUCGAACGGGUGAGUAACACGUUAGUAACCUGCCCUUGACUUUGGGAUAACUUCAGGAAACUGGGGCUAAUACCGGAUAGGAGCUCCUGCUGCAUGGUGGGGGUUGGAAAGUUUCGGCGGUUGGGGAUGGACUGGCGGCUUAUCAGCUUGUUGGUGGGGUAGUGGCUUACCAAGGCUUUGACGGGUAGCCGGCCUGAGAGGGUGACCGGCCACAUUGGGACUGAGAUGCGGCCCAGACUCCUACGGGAGGCAGCAGUAGGGAAGAUUGCACAAUGGGCGGAAGACUGAUGCAGCAACGCCGCGUGCGGGAUGACGGACUUCGGGUUGUAAACCGCUUUCGCCUGUGACGAAGCGUGAGUGACGGUAAUGGGUAAAGAAGCACCGGCUAACUACGUG